CUACGGGUCGCUGCAGUGGGGAAUAUUGGACAAUGGGGGAAACCCUGAUCCAGCAAUGCCGCGUGUGUGAAGAAGGCCUGCGGGUUGUAAAGCACUUUCGGUUGGGAGGACUGCUUCUAGCACUAAUAUUGUUGGAAGUUGAAGUUACCUUCAGAAGAAGCACCGGCUAACUCCGUGCCAGCAGCCGCGGUAAUACGGGGGGUGCAAGCGUUAAUCGGAAUUACUGGGCGUAAAGCGCGCGUAGGCGGCUAGAUCAGUCGGGUGUGAAAGCCCCGGGCUUAACCUGGGAACUGCAUCCGAUACUGUCUAGCUUGAGUACAGGAGAGGAGAGUGGAAUUCCACAUGUAGCGGUGAAAUGCGUAGAUAUGUGGAGGAACACCAAUGGCGAAGGCAGCUCUCUGGCCUGAUACUGACGCUGAGGUGCGAAAGCGUGGGGAGCAAACAGGAUUAGAUACCCCCGUAGUC
rnacentral:rRNA from 1 species